GAUGAAGAACGUAGUGAAAUGCGAUACGUAAUGUGAAUUGCAGAAUUCAGUGAAUCAUCGAGUCUUUGAACGCACAUUGCGCCCCCUGGUAUUCCGGGGGGCAUGCCUGUCCGAGCGUCAUUGCUGCCCUCAAGCACGGCUUGUGUGUUGGGCCUCCGUCCUCCUCCCGGGGGACGGGCCCGAAAGGCAGCGGCGGCACCGCGUCCGGUCCUCGAGCGUAUGGGGCUUCGUCACCCGCUCUUGUAGGCCCGGCCGGCGCUUGCCGACACAUCAAUCUUUUUUCAGGUUGACCUCGGAUCAGGUAGGGAUACCCGCUGAACUUAAGCAUAUCAAAAGCGGAGGA
rnacentral:misc_RNA from 1 species